rnacentral:rRNA from 1 species
GUAGGGAAUAUUGGGCAAUGGAGGCAACUCUGACCCAGCCAUGCCGCGUGCAGGAUGACGGCCCUCUGGGUUGUAAACUGCUUUUAUACGGGAAGAAAAAAUACUACGUGUAGUAUACUGACGGUACCGUAAGAAUAAGGAUCGGCUAACUCCGUGCCAGCAGCCGCGGUAAUACGGAGGAUCCAAGCGUUGUCCGGAUUUAUUGGGUUUAAAGGGUGCGUAGGCGGGUCUUUAAGUCAGUGGUGAAAGCCUGCAGCUUAACUGUAGAAUUGCCAUUGAAACUGAAGAUCUUGAAUGUGGUUAAAGUAGGCGGAAUGUAUCAUGUAGCGGUGAAAUGCUUAGAUAUGAUACAGAACACCGAUAGCGAAGGCAGCUUGCUGAACCAUUAUUGACGCUGAGGCACGAAAGCGUGGGGAGCGAACAGGAUUAGAUACCCCUGUAGUCC